rnacentral:tRNA from 1 species
GGCAUAUAGCUCAGAGGUAGAGCACGUGCUUAGCAUGCAUGAGGUCCUGGGUUCAAUCCCCAGUACUGCCA